UGGGGAAUUUUGGACAAUGGGCGAAAGCCUGAUCCAGCAAUGCCGCGUGUGUGAAGAAGGCCUUCGGGUUGUAAAGCACUUUUGUCCGGAAAGAAAUCCUUGGCUCUAAUACAGUCGGGGGAUGACGGUACCGGAAGAAUAAGCACCGGCUAACUACGUGCCAGCAGCCGCGGUAAUACGUAGGGUGCAAGCGUUAAUCGGAAUUACUGGGCGUAAAGCGUGCGCAGGCGGUUUGCUAAGACCGAUGUGAAAUCCCCGGGCUCAACCUGGGAACUGCAUUGGUGACUGGCAGGCUAGAGUAUGGCAGAGGGGGGUAGAAUUCCACGUGUAGCAGUGAAAUGCGUAGAGAUGUGGAGGAAUACCGAUGGCGAAGGCAGCCCCCUGGGCCAAUACUGACGCUCAUGCACGAAAGCGUGGGGAGCAAACAGGAUUAGAUACCCUGGUAGUCCACGCCCUAAACGAUGUCAACUAGUUGUUGGGGAUUCAUUUCCUAGUAACGUAGCUAACGCGUGAAGUUGACCGCCUGGGGAGUACGGUCGCAAGAUUAAAACUCAAAUGAAUUGACGGGGUCAUAGCUG
rnacentral:rRNA from 1 species